AGAGUUUGAUCAUGGCUCAGGAUGAACGCUAGCUACAGGCUUAACACAUGCAAGUCGAGGGGCAGCAUGUUGGUUGCUUGCAACCAAUGAUGGCGACCGGCGCACGGGUGAGUAACGCGUAUCCAACCUACCCUUAUCCAUCGGAUAACCCGUCGAAAGGCGGCCUAACACGAUAUGCGGUUCUCAGCAGGCAUCUAACGAGAACGAAAUGUGAAGGAGAAGGAUGGGGAUGCGUCUGAUUAGCUUGUUGGCGGGGUAACGCCACCAAGGCGACGAUCAGUAGGGUUCUGAGAGGAAGGUCCCCCANAUUGGAACUGAGACACGGUCCAAACUCCUACGGGAGGCA
rnacentral:rRNA from 1 species